UACGGGAGGCAGCAGUGGGGAAUAUUGCACAAUGGGCGCAAGCCUGAUGCAGCCAUGCCGCGUGUAUGAAGAAGGCCUUCGGGUUGUAAAGUACUUUCAGUCGUGAGGAAGGUGUUAAGGUUAAUAACCUUAGCAAUUGACGUUAGCGACAGAAGAAGCACCGGCUAACUCCGUGCCAGCAGCCGCGGUAAUACGGAGGGUGCGAGCGUUAAUCGGAAUUACUGGGCGUAAAGGGCACGCAGGCGGUUAAUUAAGUUGGAUGUGAAAUCCCCGGGCUUAACCUGGGAAUGGCAUUCAAGACUGGUUAGCUAGAGUCUUGUAGAGGGGGUUAGAAUUCCAUGUGUAGCGGUGAAAUGCGUAGAGAUGUGGAGGAAUACCGGUGGCGAAGGCGGCCCCUGGACAAAGGACUGACGCUCAUGUGCGAAAGCGUGGGGAGCAAACC
rnacentral:rRNA from 1 species